rnacentral:rRNA from 1 species
CAGUCGCCGCGGGAAUACGUAGGUCCCGAGCGUUGUCCGGAUUUAUUGGGCGUAAAGCGAGCGCAGGCGGUUAGAUAAGUCUGAAGUUAAAGGCUGUGGCUUAACCAUAGUACGCUUUGGAAACUGUUUAACUUGAGUGCAAGAGGGGAGAGUGGAAUUCCAUGUGUAGUGGUGAAAUGCGUAGAUAUAUGGAGGAACACCGGUGGCGAAAGCGGCUCUCUGGUCUGUAACUGACGCUGAGGCUCGAAAGCGUGGGGAGCAAACAGGAUUAGAUACCCCAGUAGUCCCUGUCUCUUAUACC